rnacentral:rRNA from 1 species
UACGGGGGGGGCAAGCGUUGUCCGGAAUCACUGGGCGUAAAGGGCGCGUAGGCGGUCUGCUAAGCGUGUGGUGAAAGCUCGGGGCUCAACCCCGAGUCGGCCGUGCGAACUGGUGGACUGGAGCAUGUCAGAGGCAGGCGGAAUUCCGGGUGUAGCGGUGAAAUGCGUAGAUAUCAGGAGGAACACCGAUGGCGAAGGCAGCUACCUGGCCCUAUACUGACGCUGAGGUGCGAAAGCGUGGGGAGCGAACGGG